rnacentral:rRNA from 1 species
AUUGAACGCUGGCGGAAUGCUUUACACAUGCAAGUCGAACGGCAGCACGGACUUCGGUCUGGUGGCGAGUGGCGAACGGGUGAGUAAUGUAUCGGAACGUGCCCAGUCGUGGGGGAUAACGUAGUGAAAAUUACGCUAAUACCGCAUACGAUCUAUGGAUGAAAGCGGGGGAUCGCAAGACCUCGCGCGAUUGGAGCGGCCGAUAUCAGAUUAGGUAGGUGGUGGGGUAAAGGCCCACCAAGCCAACGAUCUGUAGCUGGUCUGAGAGGACGACCAGCCACACUGGAACUGAGACACGGUCCAGACUCCUACGGGAGGCAGCAGUGGGGAAUUUUGGACGAUGGGCGCAAGCCUGAUCCAGCCAUUCCGCGUGCGGGAUGAAGGCCCUCGGGUUGUAAACUGCUUUUGUACAGAACGAAAAGGUUUCUACUAAUACUAGGAGCUCAUGACGGUACUGUAAGAAUAAGCACCGGCUAACUACGUGCCAGCCGCCGCCGUAA